AGUGAACGCUGGCGGUAGGCCUAACACAUGCAAGUCGAACGGCAGCACAGUAAGAGCUUGCUCUUACGGGUGGCGAGUGGCGGACGGGUGAGGAAUACAUCGGAAUCUACUUUUUCGUGGGGGAUAACGUAGGGAAACUUACGCUAAUACCGCAUACGACCUACGGGUGAAAGCAGGGGAUCUUCGGACCUUGCGCGAUUGAAUGAGCCGAUGUCGGAUUAGCUAGUUGGCGGGGUAAAGGCCCACCAAGGCGACGAUCCGUAGCUGGUCUGAGAGGAUGAUCAGACACACUGGAACUGAGACACGGUCCAGACUCCUACGGGAGGAAGCAGUGGGGAAUAUUGGACAAUGGGCGCAAGCCUGAUCCAGCCAUACCGCGUGGGUGAAGAAGGCCUUCGGGUUGUAAAGCCCUUUUGUUGGGAAAGAAAAGCAGCAGGUUAAUACCCCGCUGUUCUGACGGUACCCAAAGAAUAAGCACCGGCUAACUUCGUG
rnacentral:rRNA from 1 species